rfam:Triticum urartu cultivar G1812 contig972784, whole genome shotgun sequence.
UAUAUACUCCCUCCGUUCUGAAUUACUUGUCUUAGAUUUGUCUAGAUACGGAUGUAUCUAGCACUAAAAUGAGUCUAGAUACAUCCGUAUCUAGACAAAUCUAAGACAAGUAAUUCAGAACAGAGGGAGUAUAUG